AAUCAACGCUGGCGGCGUGCCUAACACAUGCAAGUCGAACGCGAAAGUUCCGCAAGGAAUUAGUAGAGUGGCAAACGGGUGAGUAACACGUGGGUGACCUGCCUUCGAGUGGGGGAUAACGUCCCGAAAGGGACGCUAAUACCGCAUAACAUCCCGCCUUUUAAGAGGUGGAAAUCAAAGCUGGGGAUCGCAAGACCUGGCGCUUGAAGAGGGGCCCGCGUCC
rnacentral:rRNA from 1 species